rnacentral:lncRNA from 1 species
CUUAGUAGCGUAUUUGUUGCUCCUGCUGAGACCUGUGGCGGCACAAGCAGCUGAGGAGGACCGCUCUGAGAUCUACAGUAGAAUCAACAAACCCAGAACCAAGAAGACCUGAACACAACAAAC